GGCGGCGUAGCUCAGCUGGUUAGAGCGUGGGAUUCAUAAGCCCAAGGUCCUCGGUUCGAUCCCGAGCGCCGCCA
rnacentral:tRNA from 1 species